UUGGAGGGCAAGUCUGGUGCCAGCAGCCGCGGUAAUUCCAGCUCCAAUAGCGUAUAUUAAAGUUGUUGCAGUUAAAAAGCUCGUAGUUGAAUUUCGGGAUCAAAUUGUCGGUCGUGCCUCGGUACGCACUGGUAUUAUUGGUUCCUACCUUCUGAAGAACCGCGACGUCAUUAAUUUGGUGUCGUGGGGAAUCAGGACUGUUACUUUGAAAAAAUUAGAGUGUUUAAAGCAGGCUUACGCUUGAAUACAUUAGCAUGGAAUAAUGAAAUAGGACGUUUGAUUCUAUUUUGUUGGUUUCUAGGAUUGACGUAAUGAUUAAUAGGGAUAGUUGAGGGCAUUAGUAUUCAAUUGUCAGAGGUGAAAUUCUUGGAUUUAUUGAAGACUAACUACUGCGAAAGCAUUUGCCAAGGAUGUUUUCAUUAAUCAAGAACGAAAGUUAGGGGAUCGAAGACGAUCAGAUACCGUCGUAGUCUUAACCAUAAACUAUGCCGACUAGGGAUCGGAUGAUGUUAAUUUUUUAAUGACUCAUUCGGCGCCUUACGGGAAAC
rnacentral:rRNA from 1 species